AGAGAAACCAGCUCGAGCUCAAGUUCCAGCUGUGGAAGAAAAACCCCCUUCAUCUUAAGUUCAAACUUCAGUUAAAGUGCUGUCAGCAUCUGAUGUACCGAUGGCUCCUCCACCUCAUAAGCGCUUGACCAUCUAUAUGCUGGAGUCGAUUUUGAAAUGCAGAUCCAGAUGGCUCAUGAUCACCUGUUACCUCUGGUGGUUGUAGUAACGAGUGUCUAUUCUAAAAUUAUUUCAAGUGUUUCAUUUCUGAUGAACUGUCGAUAUUAAAAUGAUGAUUUUGCUUUGGCCAUGUGGAAACAAAACCCCACCCACCGAUUCCUUAUUUACAUCUAUUCAUAAUCACACAUAUCACUCCUCUAUUCACUCUUUAUAUGCAUGUGACACAUGUGUGAUAGAAGUGUAUGUGUGUGUUUGUGUGCAGGUGGAUAAAAUGGAUAUGUUCCUAAAGGCAGGAGAAGCAGGA